rnacentral:rRNA from 1 species
AAUAUUGGACAAUGGUGGCAACCCUGAUCCAGCCAUGCCGCGUGUGUGAAGAAGGUCUUCGGAUUGUAAAGCACUUUUAGUAGGGAGGAAGGGCUUUAGGUUAAUACCCUGAAGUUUUGACGUUACCAACAGAAUAAGCACCCGCUCACUCUGUGCCAGCAUCCGCGGUAAUACAGAGGGUGCAAGCGUUAAUCGGAAUUACUGGGCGUAAAGCGCGCGUAGGUGGUUCAGUAAGAUGGGUGUGAAAUCACCGGGCUUAACCUAGGAACUGCUUUCAUAACUGCUGAGCUAGAGUACGGUAGAAGGUAGUGGAAUUUCCUGUGUAGCGGUGAAAUGCGUAGAUAUAGGAAGGAAAACCAGUGGCGAAGGCGACUACCUGGACUGAUACUGACACUGAGGUGCGAAAGCGUGGGGAGCAAACAGG